GACGAACGCUGGCGGCGUGCUUAACACAUGCAAGUCGAACGGAAAGGCCCUGCUUUUGUGGGGUGCUCGAGUGGCGAACGGGUGAGUAACACGUGAGUAACCUGCCCUUGACUUUGGGAUAACUUCAGGAAACUGGGGCUAAUACCGGAUAGGAGCUCCUGCUGCAUGGUGGGGGUUGGAAAGUUUCGGCGGUUGGGGAUGGACGCGCGGCUUAUCAGCUUGUUGGUGGGGUAGUGGCUUACCAAGGCUUUGACGGGUAGCCGGCCUGAGAGGGUGACCGGCCACAUUGGGACUGAGAUACGGCCCAGACUCCUACGGGAGGCAGCGGUGGGGAAGAGUGCACAAUGGGCGGAGGCCUGAUGCAGCAACGCCGCGUGCGGGAUGACGGCCUUCGGGUUGUAAACCGCUUUCGCCUGUGACGAAGCGUGAGUGACGGUAAUGGGUAAAGAAGCACCGGCUAACUACGUG
rnacentral:rRNA from 1 species